rnacentral:rRNA from 1 species
UGCUUAACACAUGCAAGUCGAACGGCAGCACAGUGUGUAGCAAUACACAUGGGUGGCGAGUGGCGGACGGGUGAGAAACGCGUAGGAAUUUGCCCUGUAGAGGGGGACAACCCGAGGAAACUCGGGCUAAUACCGCAUAUUACUCUUCGGAGGAAAGGUUAGGCAGCAAUGCCUGACGCUAUAGGAGAAGCCUGCGUCUGAUUAGCUAGUUGGUAGGGUAAAGGCCUACCAAGGCGAUGAUCGGUAGCUGGUCUGAGAGGAUGAUCAGCCACACUGGGACUGAGACACGGCCCAGACUCCUACGGGAGGCAGCAGUGGGGAAUAUUGGACAAUGGGGGCAACCCUGAUCCAGCAAUGCCGCGUGUGUGAAGAAGGCCUUCGGGUUGUAAAGCUC